AGCGAACGCUGGCGGCGUGCUUAACACAUGCAAGUCGAACGUGAAAUGUAGCAAUACAGAGUAAAGUGGCGUACGGGUGAGUAACACGUGGGUAAUCUACCAAAGAGCCUGGAAUAACCAGCCGAAAGGCUGGCUAAUACCAGAUAGUUCAAAUGAAAUAUAAUGUUUCGAUUGGGAAAGGGAGUGGGUAACCGCCUUCACUUUUUGAUGAGCCCCGCGUCUGAUUAGCUAGUUGGUGAGGUAAUGGCUCACCAAGGGCUGAGAUCAGUAGCUGGUCUGAGAGGAUGAUCGGCCACACUGGAACUGAGACACGGUCCAGACACCUACGGGUGGCAGCAGUAGGAAUAUUGGACAAUGGGCGC
rnacentral:rRNA from 1 species